ACAGUCUGGUCUGGAAUGAUUGACAGGUCCUAUGGAGGAGGCAGCAGAGACUCUGCUCUCCUCGUUUUGAUUAAUUCUGACAUAAUAACUGUUGGUUUAUUUAUCGGUGCAGCAGCAGAACAUUUUCCACAGACAGUUUUCCUGCUCGUUGUCUUGUUUUAACCAGUUUUCGUCCUUCGGCUGAUUCUACCAGCAGACACUGAAAGGACUCUGAUAGUUCGAGUGAAAGUAGCAGUUCCUCCUGAAGGUCAGAGAUUGCAGCAUCUGAGGGCCUCUUCAAAAGAAGACGUAGUUGAUGAAGGCGUUCUGGAGCAGGACCAGAAAGACCACGACCAAGCAGCCUUGAGAUCUUAGGCAGCGUCUCCCUCAGACCAAAGAACUACAGACUCUUCACAACCUGCUCAAACUCUUGGUACAGGACCUCACCACACGGGUCAAGAAGGUUUCCAUCUCAUUUCUACUCUGAAGCUCACCUUCUCCUGCUCAAACUGCUGACAAAUGUUUCUGCUGCUCUAAAGUCUGGUCUCCAGAACUUCCUAAAAACUCUCAAAGUCUCUUCUGCUGCAGGUUGCUUUGUAGAACUGUUCCAGAAAACCUCACUAAACCACAUGGAGGGGCCUCAAGAUAGUCAUCCAAAUGAAACCGUACAAAAACCAAACUAGUCCAACCCAAACACUAAAGUCUCCUGCAGCCUACCAGAGAACCUCUGAGAACAGAGAAUCAGGACAGGAACUCUUACCUUCUGGACAACCAACGUUGGUUCUCAAACACAAAUACAGAAUGUGUCUGAGCAAAAACCUCUAAAGACUCACUACAGCCAAGAUAAAGACACAACUCACCUGCACCAAAUCCACUAAUCACUGCACACAUUAGCACCAUGUGCUAACUGUGGCUAAAGAACCACAUUUACCAAGACAACUAUCCAGUACAAAGCCCUAAAACACACCAAGAAACACAUUAAAGACUAUUUUACUGCUGGAAGCUGCAAGCCAACGCCUAAAGAACAACCUAAAGCAAUGGAGCCAAACCCGGUUCUGUGGUGAAAAGAAACAGAGGAAAUGUUUGGCUGCAGCUAAAUAAAGCAGGAAGACAGUGAGCUGCUCAGGUGUUCCUGAUAACACCAAGCAGCCACCUGGACAGCCAAUAGGAACACAGUUUCCUGGAAGUCCAGAGGGCUGGCUUAGUCAGGUAAAUUUAGUUUAAAGUUGAAGCAGAAAGUUAACAAAGAAAGUUGAAAACCACCUUCUGAUACCUGAAAUCUCUGAGUUUUCACACAAAGAACACCUGAACAUGUCAAACUGGUUCCAUAGUAGAACCAUCAUUGUAAAAACAUCAUAGUAUGGUGUGUUGCUCAAAAACAUUAGGACCCGGCUGUCUAGGGUCGCCGAGGAGCAACACAAAAACAGGACAAACGCUGGUUUCCAGGGGGUUAGGAGGAUAUUUAUUUGAAAGAGGAAGUUUACAAUAACACAACAUGUGAGCAGAAAAAUCACAAAAUCUGUCUUUAGUUCAGCUGAAAAUAUUAGUUUUUGUCUUUUUUAUUGACCAAAAUUUUCAGGAAGUAGAUGAAGAAUAAUUAAAGC